AUACUUAUCUGGCAGGGGAGAACCCAUGAUUCUUGAAGGUGGUUAUCCAUUGGGAGGUUCAUUCAUUAUACUCUAGAUGUGAUGACCCCUGUGACUUCCUCAAAUAAGAAACUUAAAUGCAUAAUUUGUGGUAGUGGAGGACUGAGUUCAUACUCUCCCCUG